rnacentral:rRNA from 1 species
AACGAACGUUAGCGGCGCGCCUAACACAUGCAAGUCGCACGAGAAAGGGCUUCGGCCCCGGUAAAGUGGCGCACGGGUGAGUAACACGUGGGUAAUGUUCCCUCGGGCGGGGGAUAACCCUCCGAAAGGAAGGCUAAUACCGCAUAAGACCACGGCCUCGAAAGAGGCUGAGGUAAAAGCAGGCCUCUGCAUGCAAGCUUGCACCUGAGGAUCAGCCCGCGGCCCAUCAGCUAGUUGGCAGGGUAAAGGCCUACCAAGGCUAAGACGGGU